GGGGUCCGCCAUGUUGGGAUCACCGUAACUGCAGUUACAGUGAUCAGUUUAACACCAGUGGAAAUUGACAUUUGAAUGGGAAAAAUACAAUUGUAAAGUACAUACAAUUAACAAUGAUUAAAAAAAAAACCUAUUGAUUACACACGUAAACUUAAUAAUAUGGUUGCACACCACAUUUGAUGAAUACUCAAUGUGCAGAAAUG
rnacentral:lncRNA from 1 species